rnacentral:misc_RNA from 1 species
GAGUUUUGAAACGGGUUGUAGCUGGCUUCUCCGGAGGCAUGUGCACGCCCUGCUCAUCCACUCUACACCUGUGCACUUACUGUGGGUAUCGGGAGGUGUCGCGUCGUUUACGGCGAAGGCGUUAACCGUGCCUACGUUUUACUACAAACGAUUCAGUAUCAGAAUGUGUAUUGCGAUGUAACGCAUCUAUAUACAACUUUCAGCAACGGAUCUCUUGGCUCU